rnacentral:tRNA from 1 species
GCUGAAAUAGCUUAGUGAUAAAGCAUAGCUUUAUUAAAGCUGAUAUCAAGGGUUAAUGACAUUUUUUUUAUA